rnacentral:rRNA from 1 species
GAUGAACGCUGGCGGCGUGCCUAAUACAUGCAAGUCGAGCGAACAGACGAGGAGCUUGCUCCUCUGACGUUAGCGGCGGACGGGUGAGUAACACGUGGAUAACCUACCUAUAAGACUGGGAUAACUUCGGGAAACCGGAGCUAAUACCGGAUAAUAUAUUGAACCGCAUGGUUCAAUAGUGAAAGACGGUUUUGCUGUCACUUAUAGAUGGAUCCGCGCCGCAUUAGCUAGUUGGUAAGGUAACGGCUUACCAAGGCAACGAUGCGUAGCCGACCGGAGAGGGUGAUCGGCCACACUGGAACUGAGACACGGUCCAGACGCCUACGGGAGGCAGCAGUAGGGAAUCUUCCGCAAUGGGCGAAAGCCUGACGGAGCAACGCCGCGUGAGUGAUGAAGGUCUUCGGAUCGUAAAACUCUGUUAUUAGGGAAGAACAAAUGUGUAAGUAACUAUGCACGUCUUGACGGUACCUAAUCAGAAAGCCACGGCUAACUACGUG